rnacentral:tRNA from 1 species
GGGCGUAGCUCAGUGGUAGAGUACCGGCUUCCCAAGCCGUGGGUCGAGGGUUCGAAUCCCUUUGCCC